CAAAAACCCCGGGCUGAUUCCGAAACUGUUUAAAAAACGUACAGCGGCGGGGAUGAAAACGGCCCAAGGCUGGCCAUACUCAAGAUGUUGGCCACCUUCCCCCCAAAGGGUUGGCCGAUAAAGGUGACGACGGACCGCGCACCUUUGCACUACUCCUAAUGGUCUUAACCCGGACUCCUCCCCCAGACUCCGG
rnacentral:sRNA from 4 species